UUGAUGAAUAAUAGGGAAAGACUGGGUGACUUUCUGGUGAUUUUUCACGUUUUUGAUGUUUGGGAGAUCCGGGAAUAUUGGGAAGAGGGAUAAAUCUUGUUAACUCAGACGUUUGCUAACUAGAUGCUGCUAAGCUGUUGCAGAAUAUUGAUGAACUUGGAAAUGAAGUCAGAAGGCUCGACUGGUUUAUGAUACCUUGAUAGAGGAAAAGUCAGGCAGAAAUGAGCUCUACAUCUUCCACUCUACAGCUUGUCAGAUCCAGAUCGCAGUAAUAUCACCCAUAAAUCCUCUUAAGCCAAUGCAAGCAGAUGAGGACUGAUGCUAAGACCCAUUCCUUCAGGUGGCAGAACAACAAAGAAAGGCACUCAAAGGUCACUGCAAAUGGAAAUCCAGGAAGAACAACAAGGAACAGUUGAAGCUCAGAAUGGAUAAUCAUAUAGACAGAGUGGAAAAUGCUGAUGAAAUGCAAACAUAAGUCAUAGGCACACCCCUAAGUACAGUCCAAAAUGCAAGCAGUUGUGUUUUUCCACCUCAACAAGCCUAUUCUAGCAUUUUUAUUUCCAUCAAAAGUAGGUAUUUUGUUGGUCUUUAUUGUACAUUUAAGACCAAGGCCUGAAAAUAUUUACAUAUGCUUAGUAACAAAUUGCAUGCAAUAUUUUGUGACUAAAAAAAAUCUGUCCCAUAUCACUACUUGUGUUACUUGAUUGUGGUGCUACAUGAUGUCCUCCUCUUCCUCCUCUUCUCCUUCUUCCUGAAAUGCCUACAACUCCAAACCUGAACUUUGGCUCCACUAUGCAAAUAGUCAGGAAUAGACAUCAACACAACAUAGUAUUACAUAUGUGUAUGUCCUUUUAAGAGAACCACCAUGGUGUUGAGGUUUGAAUGUUAAACUAGGACUCCAAGAGGUAAAGAGUUCACAGCCAUGAAAACUACUUGGUGUCACUGGGCAGUUCAAAUACUCACAGCCUCAGUGAAAGGAAAUGGCAAACCUCUCUGAAAAAAUUUGGGCAAGAAAAAGAAAACAUGAUAUAUUUGCCUUUGACCUGCUAUAAAUUAGAAGUAACUUGAAGGCACACAACAAAAAUGUUUUUUUUUCAAACAAUUGCACAAGAAGGGUUGUUGUAUGUCUUUCGAGCUGUGUGGCCAUGUUCCAGAAGUAUUCUCUCCUGACGUUUCGCCCACAUCUAUGGGAGGCAUCCUCCGAGGUUGUGAGACACGGAUAAACUAGGCAAGGAAGGUAAAUAUAUAUCUGUGGAGAGUCCAGAGUGUGACAAGAGUCCUUUGUCAGUGGAAGCCAGCAUUAAUGUUGCAAUUAAUCACCCUAAUUAGCAUUGGAAAGGUUUGUCUCUUGCCUGGGGGGCAUCCUUUGUUCAGAGUCAUUAGCUGUGCUUGGGGCUCCUCUGCCCUCAGAGUGUUGCUUCCCAUCUACUGUUCUGAUUUUUGAGUUUUUUAAUACUGGCAGCCAGAUUUUGUUCAUUUUCAUGGUUUCCUCCUUUCUGUUGAAGUUGUCCACAUGCUUGUGGAUUUCAAUGGCUUCUCUGUGUAGUCUGACAUGAUAGUUGUUGGAGUGGUCAAGCAUUUCUGUGUUCUCAAAUAAUAUACUGUGUCCAGGUUGGUUCAUCAAGUGCUCUGCUAUGGCUGAUUUCUCUAGAUGAGUGAGUCUGCAGUGCCUUUCAUGUUUGGGUGCUACGUUUGGUGGUCCCUAUGUAGACUUGUCCACAGCUGCAUGGUAUCCGGUAGACUCCUGCAGAGGAGAGAGGAUCCCUCUUGUCUUUCGCUGACCAUAGCAUUUGUUGGAUUUUCUUUGUGGGUCUGUAGAUAGUUUGUAGGUUGUGCUUCUUCAUCAGUUUGCCUAUGCUUCCUUGGCAACUGAGUGACCUAGCCAUAAGGGAAGUCAUAUCAUCACUGAAGGAGGGUACAAGGUGCCUGGACAGUCUAUGGGAGAAGCCAGGAGCAAAAAGAAACCAUCUAUUUUCCCAAUUGCUUGCCUUCUUACUGAAGAUCUGGAAGGGAGGGAAGCAGCUGUUGUCUGUUCCCAGCUACAGAUGUACAGCCAAUUACUGCCCAGGUACAUUUCCUUUGCAGGUACCCACCUAUUAAACCAUCAAUAGAGCCCAUGGAUGCCCUUAGUAACUGACAUGCGACCUCAUCAGAAAGGGCUUAAUUUGGCAGCAUAUGCCAGUUUAGCCGAGGUCAUCCAUGGAGCCCACCAGCUCCCAUCAAACAAUGCUGAUGGGCUCCAUGGGUGUAGGGUGGAACUGGCACAUGCUGCUCCCAUGACAACACAAGAGGCUUCUUGUGUUGCCAUUAAAAGCAAUGGGGGAAGCCCCACGGUCUACGAGACCCCCUUGAGAUCAACUUUCACAAGAGCCGGGCAAUGCGGGGCGAUUCUGAUGACGUGGAGGGAUCCCGGUGGCUGUGUGACAAGGUUGCAGAGCUCAUGAAGAUAGCCAUAACCAUGUCAGAACUGUCCUAAUGAUUUAUGGCUAAAACUUUACAAUGGGCCCAGAAAUGUACAGCUGCUGAUAGUUUGCAGUAUGACCGCUGUGCACCCAACACUUGGGAGGUUGAGUUGUGCAUCAGUUGAUGCCUCUGAACUGUCUACAAAGGGAGGCACAUAGAGAGAGCAUUACAGCAGUGUUGUCAGGAUGUCAUGAGUAUUGUACAUGGUUAAUCAAAGUACAAUAUGUCCUUUUCAAAUAGGUCCUGUGUUUGCUUGGUUAGUAAACAGUCAUGUCACAGUGGCUUAUUAGUUUAUUUAAAGUAGUCUGUCAAAUCUUUUUAUGAGACUUGUUUAGCUUGUAUUAAUAUUUCAAAAAUUGUAUUUUGUGUGGCUAUUCCCAAACUUGUUUCAACUUCCAUAUAUCUUACAAACAACCUGAAAUAGAAGCAAAGGUGUAUCAUAAUACCAUAUUUCUUUGAUUCUGAGACACCAUGGAUUGUGAAAAAAACAUGUUUCAAAUGUGAUUCUAAGAUGCAUCCUGUUUUUAGAGAUAUUUAUAAUGGGGGGAGGGAAGGGUGCAUCAUAGAAUAGAAGAAAUACGGUAUUUUUAAGAGCUCUGAAUAUAGAUUAAAGAUUGUCUGUAAUCUUUCAUAAGCAGUUUAAGUCCUUUUUGACAAAUUAAAAAGGCAUUUCUAGUUAAUCAAGAAAAUGUGUUUUUAAUGUAAGUUUAUAUGAAAAUUGUAGAGGGCUAACCCUAACUUUGGAGGCAUUCUACCACUCUCACCUAGUGAGAGAUUUACCGUAUCUAAAGACAUGGGAAUUAUUGUCUUCUUCUUCAAGUCUAUUUAGUAAUGAGAAGUUUAAAACAUUUAAUGGACAAAUGUGAUUGAGUAAGAUUUAUUAAACAGAGUAGUAAGUCUAAUAUGUAUUCUGUAUGUUAGUAGAGCUGUUCUGUAGGAUGAUUUCAAUUUUCUUAGACAUCUGGACAGCAGUGCCACUAUCUUCUUCUGGCCAAUUCCAUCAUGUAUAAGUGCACAUGCUUCUGCCACUUUCUUGGCCUUUAUGGAAAAUAUUUUUGCUAAGCUGUGGAACUGAUUAUUGGUGUAAUUGAAACAUAGUUAUUGGGGUUCUGACCUUAUAAUAAAUGUAUUUUCCUCAGGAAACUUACUUGUUUUUGUGGGUUUGCAAGCCAACUCUUACCCUAUUAUAGUGUUUGGGACUGUGGGUUUGUUUUUUAUUUGUUUGUGUUUUUUACAAGGUUUAUUCUGAGUAGGUUUGCCCUUGCCUUAGGCUGAGAGCUUUGAAUGCAGUUUUCCUGCUUCUUGGUAGUGGGUUGGACUGGAUGGUCCAUGAGGUCUCUUCCAACUCUAUGAUUCUAUGAGCAUACCAAUAUAAAACUGUGUACUUAUUUAGAGGGUAUAUGGUCCAGCUUAUUGGAAACAAGACCUUUGGUUAGUGCAGGAUUAGAUAGAUGGUAGAUACAUCCAAUGAAGGGAGAUCUAUAAUGCCAUAUUUUAUAUUUAUACAUAAAAAAGCCAGGUGGAAUAAAAAAUGUCCAACAGCAAAAGAAAUCCCAUGCAUCUUCCAAAAAAAAGUUGAUGUUAAAAAUAGCCAUAAAAUCUAUUUAAAGGUUGAAUUUCUACAUCUGGGGGCAUUCAGGAAAGUCAAUUCACUGACAUGUCCUCCAAGAAAAGUUGGUGCAGGGAGCACUCUGCACUACAGUUGCCAGGAUUUCUUGUAAUUUGGAACAAAUCUCUGGGU